rnacentral:rRNA from 1 species
CUGCACGCGCGCUACACUGGCGAAAUCAGCGUGCUUAUCCUUUCUCGAAAGGGAUUGGUAAACCAUUGAAAAUUUGCCGUGAUUGGGAUCGGAAAUUGCAAUUAUUUUCCGUGAACGAGGAAUUCCAAGUAAGUGCGAGUCAUCAACUCGCGUUGAUUCACGU